rnacentral:rRNA from 1 species
AGAACGAACGCUGGCGGCGUGGAUAAGACAUGCAAGUCGAACGGGAUUUGUUUUGUAGCAAUACAAGGCAAGUCCAGUGGCGUAAGGGUGCGUAACACGUGGGGAAUCUGCCGAGAAGUGGGGGAUAGCUCGCCGAAAGGCGAAUUAAUACCGCAUGUGGUUGGUGAAGACAUCUUCACGACACCAAAGCCGGGGCAACCGUGGCGCUUCUUGAUCGACCCCGCGGCCUAUCAGCUAGUUGGUGAGGUAACGGCUCACAGCUAUGACGGUAGCUGGUCUGAGAGGACGACCACGCCACGACGUAGGAGCGUGACGAC